UCUAGUGAGGUGAUGUGUUUAUGUCUAGUGAGGUGAUGUUUUUAUGUCUAGUGAGGUGAUGUUUUUAUGUCUAGUGAGGUGAUGUGUUUAUGUCUAGUGAGGUGAUGUUUUUAUGUCUAGUGAGGUGAUGUUUUUAUGUCUAGUGAGGUGAUGUGUUUAUGUCUAGUGAGGUGAUGUGUUUAUGUCUAGUGAGGUGAUGUGUUUAUGUCUAGUAAGGUGAUGUGUUUAUGUCUAGUGAGGUGAUGUUUUUAUGUCUAGUGAGGUGAUGUUUUUAUGUCUAGUAAGGUGAUGUUUUUAUGUCUAGUGAGGUGAUGUGUUUAUGUCUAGUGAGGUGAUGUGUUUAUGUCUAGUGAGGUGAUGUGUUUAUGUCUAGUGAGGUGAUGUUUUUAUGUCUAGUGAGGUGAUGUGUUUAUGUCUAGUGAGGUGAUGUGUUUAUGUCUAGUGAGGUGAUGUUUUUAUGUCUAGUGAGGUGAUGUUUUUAUGUCUAGUGAGGUGAUGUUUUUAUGUCUAGUGAGGUGAUGUUUUUAUGUCUAGUGAGGUGAUGUGUUUAUGUCUAGUGAGGUGAUGUGUUUAUGUCUAGUGAGGUGAUGUGUUUAUGUCUAGUGAGGUGAUGUGUUUAUGUCUAGUGAGGUGAUGU